rnacentral:rRNA from 1 species
AUUGAACGCUGGCGGCAGGCCUAACACAUGCAAGUCGAGCGGAUGAAGGGAGCUUGCUCCUGGAUUCAGCGGCGGACGGGUGAGUAAUGCCUAGGGAUCUGCCUGGUAGUGGGGGAUAACGUCCGGAAACGGGCGCUAAUACCGCAUACGUCCUGCGGGAGCAAGUGGGGGAUCUUCGGACCUCACGCUAUCAGAUGAGCCUAGGUCGGAUUAGCUAGUUGGUGGGGUAAAGGCCUACCAAGGCGACGAUCCGUAACUGGUCUGAGAGGAUGAUCAGUCACACUGGAACUGAGACACGGUCCAGACUCCUACGGGAGGCAGCAGUGGGGAAUAUUGGACAGUGGGCGAAAGCCUGAUCCAGCCAUGCCGCGUGUGUGAAGAAGGUCUUCGGAUUGUAAAGCACUUUAAGUUGUGAGGAAGGGCAGUAAGUUAAUACCUUGCUGUUUUGACGUUACCAACAGAAUAAGCACCGGCUAACUUCGUG